UAGGGAAUCUUCCGCAAUGGGCGAAAGCUUGACGGAGCAACGCCGCGUGAGUGAUGAAGGUCUUCGGAUCGUAAAACUCUGUUAUUAGGGAAGAACAAAUGUGUAAGUAACUAUGCACGUCUUGACGGUACCUAAUCAGAAAGCCACGGCUAACUACGUGCCAGCAGCCGCGGUAAUACGUAGGUGGCAAGCGUUAUCCGGAAUUAUUGGGCGUAAAGCGCGCGUAGGCGGUUUUUUAAGUCUGAUGUGAAAGCCCACGGCUCAACCGUGGAGGGUCAUUGGAAACUGGAAAACUUGAGUGCAGAAGAGGAAAGUGGAAUUCCAUGUGUAGCGGUGAAAUGCGCAGAGAUAUGGAGGAACACCAGUGGCGAAGGCGACUUUCUGGUCUGUAACUGGCGCUGAUGUGCGAAAGCGUGGGGAUCAAACAGG
rnacentral:rRNA from 1 species